rnacentral:rRNA from 1 species
UUAAGCGACUAAGCGUACACGGUGGAUGCCCUGGCAGUCAGAGGCGAUGAAGGACGUGCUAAUCUGCGAUAAGCGUCGGUAAGGUGAUAUGAACCGUUAUAACCGGCGAUUUCCGAAUGGGGAAACCCAGUGUGAUUCGUCACACUAUCAUUAACUGAAUCCAUAGGUUAAUGAGGCGAACCGGGGGAACUGAAACAUCUAAGUACCCCGAGGAAAAGAAAUCAACCGAGAUUCCCCCAGUAGCGGCGAGCGAACGGGGAGGAGCCCAGAGCCUGAAUCAGUGUGUGUGUUAGUGGAAGCGUCUGGAAAGGCGCGCGAUACAGGGUGACAGCCCCGUACACAAAAAUGCACAUGCUGUGAGCUCGAUGAGUAGGGCGGGACACGUGGUAUCCUGUCUGAAUAUGGGGGGACCAUCCUCCAAGGCUAAAUACUCCUGACUGACCGAUAGUGAACCAGUACCGUGAGGGAAAGGCGAAAAGAACCCCGGCGAGGGGAGUGAAAAAGAACCUGAAACCGUGUACGUACAAGCAGUGGGAGCACAGAGCAAUCUGUGUGACUGCGUACCUUUUGUAUAAUGGGUCAGCGACUUAUAUUCUGUAGCAAGGUUAACCGAAUAGGGGAGCCGAAGGGAAACCGAGUCUUAACUGGGCGUUAAGUUGCAGGGUAUAGACCCGAAACCCGGUGAUCUAGCCAUGGGCAGGUUGAAGGUUGGGUAACACUAACUGGAGGACCGAACCGACUAAUGUUGAAAAAUUAGCGGAUGACUUGUGGCUGGGGGUGAAAGGCCAAUCAAACCGGGAGAUAGCUGGUUCUCCCCGAAAGCUAUUUAGGUAGCGCCUCGUGAAUUCAUCUCCGGGGGUAGAGCACUGUUUCGGCAAGGGGGUCAUCCCGACUUACCAACCCGAUGCAAACUGCGAAUACCGGAGAAUGUUAUCACGGGAGACACACGGCGGGUGCUAACGUCCGUCGUGAAGAGGGAAACAACCCAGACCGCCAGCUAAGGUCCCAAAGUCAUGGUUAAGUGGGAAACGAUGUGGGAAGGCCCAGACAGCCAGGAUGUUGGCUUAGAAGCAGCCAUCAUUUAAAGAAAGCGUAAUAGCUCACUGGUCGAGUCGGCCUGCGCGGAAGAUGUAACGGGGCUAAACCAUGCACCGAAGCUGCGGCAGCGACGCUUAUGCGUUGUUGGGUAGGGGAGCGUUCUGUAAGCCUGUGAAGGUGUGCUGUGAGGCAUGCUGGAGGUAUCAGAAGUGCGAAUGCUGACAUAAGUAACGAUAAAGCGGGUGAAAAGCCCGCUCGCCGGAAGACCAAGGGUUCCUGUCCAACGUUAAUCGGGGCAGGGUGAGUCGACCCCUAAGGCGAGGCCGAAAGGCGUAGUCGAUGGGAAACAGGUUAAUAUUCCUGUACUUGGUGUUACUGCGAAGGGGGGACGGAGAAGGCUAUGUUGGCCGGGCGACGGUUGUCCCGGUUUAAGCGUGUAGGCUGGUUUUCCAGGCAAAUCCGGAAAAUCAAGGCUGAGGCGUGAUGACGAGGCACUACGGUGCUGAAGCAACAAAUGCCCUGCUUCCAGGAAAAGCCUCUAAGCAUCAGGUAACAUCAAAUCGUACCCCAAACCGACACAGGUGGUCAGGUAGAGAAUACCAAGGCGCUUGAGAGAACUCGGGUGAAGGAACUAGGCAAAAUGGUGCCGUAACUUCGGGAGAAGGCACGCUGAUAUGUAGGUGAAGUCCCUCGCGGAUGGAGCUGAAAUCAGUCGAAGAUACCAGCUGGCUGCAACUGUUUAUUAAAAACACAGCACUGUGCAAACACGAAAGUGGACGUAUACGGUGUGACGCCUGCCCGGUGCCGGAAGGUUAAUUGAUGGGGUUAGCGCAAGCGAAGCUCUUGAUCGAAGCCCCGGUAAACGGCGGCCGUAACUAUAACGGUCCUAAGGUAGCGAAAUUCCUUGUCGGGUAAGUUCCGACCUGCACGAAUGGCGUAAUGAUGGCCAGGCUGUCUCCACCCGAGACUCAGUGAAAUUGAACUCGCUGUGAAGAUGCAGUGUACCCGCGGCAAGACGGAAAGACCCCGUGAACCUUUACUAUAGCUUGACACUGAACAUUGAGCCUUGAUGUGUAGGAUAGGUGGGAGGCUUUGAAGUGUGGACGCCAGUCUGCAUGGAGCCGACCUUGAAAUACCACCCUUUAAUGUUUGAUGUUCUAACGUUGACCCGUAAUCCGGGUUGCGGACAGUGUCUGGUGGGUAGUUUGACUGGGGCGGUCUCCUCCUAAAGAGUAACGGAGGAGCACGAAGGUUGGCUAAUCCUGGUCGGACAUCAGGAGGUUAGUGCAAUGGCAUAAGCCAGCUUGACUGCGAGCGUGACGGCGCGAGCAGGUGCGAAAGCAGGUCAUAGUGAUCCGGUGGUUCUGAAUGGAAGGGCCAUCGCUCAACGGAUAAAAGGUACUCCGGGGAUAACAGGCUGAUACCGCCCAAGAGUUCAUAUCGACGGCGGUGUUUGGCACCUCGAUGUCGGCUCAUCACAUCCUGGGGCUGAAGUAGGUCCCAAGGGUAUGGCUGUUCGCCAUUUAAAGUGGUACGCGAGCUGGGUUUAGAACGUCGUGAGACAGUUCGGUCCCUAUCUGCCGUGGGCGCUGGAGAACUGAGGGGGGCUGCUCCUAGUACGAGAGGACCGGAGUGGACGCAUCACUGGUGUUCGGGUUGUCAUGCCAAUGGCACUGCCCGGUAGCUAAAUGCGGAAGAGAUAAGUGCUGAAAGCAUCUAAGCACGAAACUUGCCCCGAGAUGAGUUCUCCCUGACUCCUUGAGAGUCCUGAAGGAACGUUGAAGACGACGACGUUGAUAGGCCGGGUGUGUAAGCGCAGCGAUGCGUUGAGCUAACCGGUACUAAUGAACCGUGAGGCUUAACCUU